rnacentral:rRNA from 1 species
AGUGAACGCUGGCGGUAGGCCUAACACAUGCAAGUCGAACGGCAGCACAGUAAGAGCUUGCUCUUACGGGUGGCGAGUGGCGGACGGGUGCGGAAUACAUCGGAAUCUACUUUUUCUUGGGGGAUAACGUAGGGAAACUUACGCUAAUACCGCAUACGACGUACGGGUGAAAGCAUGGGAUCUUCGGACCUUGCGCGAUUGAAUGAGCCGAUGUCGGGUUAGCUAGUUGGGGGGGUAAAGGCCCACCAAGGCGACGAUCCGUAGCUGGGCUGAGAGGAUGAUUAGGCAAACUGGGAACGAGACACGGUCCCGACUCCUAAGGGAGGCAGGAGUGGGGAAUAUUUGACCAUGGGGGGAAGCCUGAUCCAGCCAUACCGCGUGGGGGAAGAAGGCCUUCGGGUUGUAAAGCCCUUUUGUUGGGAAAGAAAAGCAGCAGGUUAAUACCCCGCUGUUCUGACGGUACCCAAAGAAUAAGCACCGGCUAACUUCGUG